UGGCGGACGGGUGAGUAAUGUCUGGGAAACUGCCUGAUGGAGGGGGAUAACUACUGGAAACGGUAGCUAAUACCGCAUAACGUCGCAAGACCAAAGAGGGGGACCUUCGGGCCUCUUGCCAUCAGAUGUGCCCAGAUGGGAUUAGCUAGUAGGUGGGGUAACGGCUCACCUAGGCGACGGUCCCUAGCUGGUCUGAGAGGAUGACCAGCCACACUGGAACUGAGACACGGUCCAGACUCCUACGGGAGGCAGCAUG
rnacentral:rRNA from 1 species